rnacentral:tRNA from 1 species
AGCGGAAUAGUAGUCUGGAUCUCAUCUGGCGCUUCGGACGCUAGGACACGGGUUCGAAUCCUGUAUCGCCCACCA